GCCGACGAGUAUGAGAAGUCCGUUCGUUGGUCCACAUCAAGCUGGCUGUGUAAGCACGAAGUGCCACAAGAUGAUUGGCAGCAAGAGUCAACCAGUGAUGAAGGGAUGCGCUCAACUGAAUACAAGUGUCUGUGAACACAAACAUGCAGCAGAGUCGUGAAACCCCUCAAUCCCGUCCAGGCCUUCCAAACAGGACUCCUCUAACUGUUGAAAGGCUGAGCAGGUUGGACUCCAGCUGAAAAUGGACUAUGUAAAACAACUCCAAAAAACAAUGCACAAUACACCUUCAUUUUGACAAUAGGCCUAUUUCAUAUUUUAUAGCUGAUUCUGGUUAUUUUCCAAUAAUCUUCUUUACACUAGAUUUAAAUGUAAUGUAAAUUAAUGACCAAUCUAGCUUCUGUUUAAUACAAACAUAACAGCUGCAUGUACACUAUACUGG